UACGUAGGGUGCAAGCGUUGUCCGGAUUUAUUGGGCGUAAAGAGCUCGUAGGCGGUUUUGAAAGUCGGGUGUGAAACCUCCAGGCUCAACCUGGAGACGCCACUCGAUACUUCAAUGACUUGAGUUCGGUAGGGGUAAGCGGAAUUCCUGGUGUAGCGGUGAAAUGCGCAGAUAUCAGGAGGAACACCGGUGGCGAAGGCGGUUCUCUGGGCCAGUACUGACGCUGAGGAGCGAAAGCGUGGGUAGCAAACAGG
rnacentral:rRNA from 1 species